rnacentral:rRNA from 1 species
UGCAAGUCGAACGAAGUAGCAAUACUUAGUGGCAGACGGGUGAGUAACAUGUAGGUAUCUACCCUUUGGCCUGGAAUAACACGAGGAAACUUGUGCUAAUACCGGAUAAGUCCUUACGGAGAAAGCUUUAUGCACCAUUGGAUGAGCCUGCACUUGAUUAGUUUGUUGGUGGGGUAAUGGCCUACCAAGACUUUGAUCAAUAGCUGAUUUGAGAGGAUGAUCAGCCACAUUGGGACUGAGACACGGCCCAAACUCCUACGGGAGGCAGCAGUGGGGAAUCUUGCACGAUGGAGGAAACUCUGAUGCAGCGAUGCCGCGUGAGUGAAGAAGGCCCUUGGGUUGCAAAGCUCUUUCGUCGGGGAAGAAAAUGACUGUACCCGAAUAAGAAGGUCCGGCUAACUUCGUGCCAGCAGCCGCGGUAAUACGAAAGGACCUAGCGUAGUUCGGAAUUACUGGGCUUAAAGAGUUCGUAGGUGGUUGAAAAAGUUGGUGGUGAAAUCCCAGAGCUUAACUCUGGAACUGCCAUCAAAACUUUUCAGCUAGAGUUUGAUAGAGGAAAGCAGAAUUUCUAGUGUAGAGGUGAAAUUCGUAGAUAUUAGAAAGAAUACCAAUUGCGAAGGCAGCUUUCUGGAUCAUUACUGACACUGAGGAACGAAAGCAUGGGUAGCGAAGAGGAUUAGAUACCCUCGUAGUCCAUGCCGUAAACGAUGUGUGUUAGACGUUGGAAAUUUAUUUUCAGUGUCGCAGCGAAAGCGAUAAACACACCGCCUGGGGAGUACGACCGCAAGGUUAAAACUCAAAUGAAUUGACGGGGACCCGCACAAGUAGUGGAGCAUGUGGUUUAAUUCGAAGAUACGCGCAGAANCNUUNCCAACACUUGACAUGUUCGUCGCGACUUUAANAGAUUAAAGUUUUCGGUUCGGCCGGACNA